rnacentral:rRNA from 1 species
GUGGCCAGCAGCCGCGGUAACACCGGCAGCCCGAGUGAUGGCCGAUCUUAUUGGGCCUAAAGCGUCCGUAGCUGGCUGCGCAAGUCCGUCGGGAAAUCCACUCGCCCAACGAGUGGGCGUCCGACGGAAACUGCACAGCUUGGGACCGGAAGGCUCGAAGGGUACGUUCGGGGUAGGAGUGAAAUCCCAUAAUCCCGCACGGACCACCGAUGGCGAAAGCACCUCAGGAGGACGGACUCGACAGUGAGGGACGAAAGCCAGGGUCUCGAACCGGAUUAGAAACCCUGGUAGUCC